CCCUUAGAUGUUCUGGGCCGCACGCGCGCUACACUGAUGCAUUCAACAAGCCUAGCCUUGACCGAGAGGUCCGGGUAAUCUUUGAAACUGCAUCGUGAUGGGGCUAGAUUAUUGCAAUUAUUAAUCUUCAACGAGGAAUGCCUAGUAAGCGUGAUUCAUCAAAUCGCGUUGAUUACGUCCCUGCCCUUUGUACACACCGCCCGUCGCUCCUACCGAUUGAAUGUGUUGGUGAGGAGCUCGGAUUGGCAGCAGUUGGUGGAUCGCCACCGGCUAUUGCUGAGAAGUCCUCCAAACCGCCCCAUUUAGAGGAAGGAGAAGUCGUAACA
rnacentral:rRNA from 1 species